rnacentral:rRNA from 1 species
GGUGGUAAAUUCCAUCUAAGGCUAAAUAUAAGUGAGAGACCGAUAGCAAACAAGUACCGUGAGGGAAAGAUGAAAAGAACUUUGAAAAUAGAGUUAACAGUACGUGAAAUUGCUGAAAGGGAAACGUUUGAAGUUAGUAUUGUAUUCGUUGGAUCAGCUUCGCAAGAGGUCUAUUCCGAUGAUAAGCAAGUCAACAUCAGUCUAUGAGUGUUGGAAAAAGGGCUCGAGAAUGUAGCAAUUUAAUUGUGUUAUAGCUUGGGACUUUGAAUACAACGCUCUUGAUUGAGGAACGCGUAGUAAGCUUUGAGCGGGUUCGAAAGAGCCUCCUUACUAUGGAUGUUGGUGAAAUAACUUUAAGCGACCCGUCUUGAAACACGGACCAAGGAGUCUAACAUGCUUGCGAGUAUUAGGGCGUUGAAACCCGAAUGCGUAAUGAAAGUGAUUUCAGAUGUGAUCCGCAAGGUGCAACAUCGGCCGGUCCUGAUUAUUUAUAUGACGGUACUGAGCAAGAGCAAGUAUGUUAGGACCCGAAAGAUGGUGAACUAUGCCUGGAUAGGGUGAAGUCAGAGGAAACUCUGAUGGAAGCUCGUAGCGGUUCUGACGUGCAAAUCGAUCGUAGAAUCUGGGUAUAGGGGCGAAAGACUAAUCGAACCAUCUAGUAGCUGGUUCCUGCCGAAGUUUCCCUCA